rnacentral:rRNA from 1 species
GACGAACGCUGGCGGCGCGCCUAACACAUGCAAGUCGAACGAGAGAUGAGGAGCUUGCUCUUCAAAUCGAGUGGCGAACGGGUGAGUAACGCGUGAGGAACCUGCCUCAAAGAGGGGGACAACAGUUGGAAACGACUGCUAAUACCGCAUAAGCCCACGGCUCGGCAUCGAGCAGAGGGAAAAGGAGUGAUCCGCUUUGAGAUGGCCUCGCGUCCGAUUAGCUAGUUGGUGAGGUAACGGCCCACCAAGGCGACGGUCGGUAGCCGGACUGAGAGGUUGAACGGCCACAUUGGGACUGAGACACGGCCCAGACUCCUACGGGAGGCAGCAGUGGGGAAUAUUGCACAAUGGGGGAAACCCUGAUGCAGCGACGCCGCGUGGAGGAAGAAGGUCUUCGGAUUGUAAACUCCUGUUGUUGAGGAAGAUAAUGACGGUACUCAACAAGGAAGUGACGGCU